rnacentral:rRNA from 1 species
AUUGAACGCUGGCGGCAGGCCUAACACAUGCAAGUCGAGCGAGCGGCGGACGGGUGAGUAAUGUAUGGGGAUCUGCCUGAUGGAGGGGGAUAACUACUGGAAACGGUAGCUAAUACCGCAUACCAUCAGAUGAACCCAUAUGGGAUUAGCUUGUAGGUGAGGUAACGGCUCACCUAGGCGACGAUCCCUAGCUGGUCUGAGAGGAUGAUCAGCCACACUGGGACUGAGACACGGCCCAGACUCCUACGGGAGGCAGCAGUGGGGAAUAUUGCACAAUGGGCGCAAGCCUGAUGCAGCCAUGCCGCGUGUAUGAAGAAGGCCUUCGGGUUGUAAAGCACUUUCAGCGAGGAGGCGUUACUCGCAGAAGAAGCACCGGCUAACUCCGUGCCAGCAGCCGCGGUAAUUC